rnacentral:misc_RNA from 1 species
CCCCUUUUUCUCUGCUCCCACUGUGCUUUUUGGAUCCUCCUCACAUCAUAUCCCUCCAGAAGACGGUAAAGAAUCUCGGGCAAGUCCUUGAAAUAACCGAAAUUCGCCAAAGAUGAAACGUUAAAAGCAAGCGUUUUGGGGUGGAAUUGAUGAAGCCAAAUCGCCGCGGCAUAAAACCCUUCUUUGUCAGAUUUUCCGGUGCCACGAACACCCCUAAGAUUACAUAUAAGCUUAAGGGUGGUCAAGGGGUUGUACUGCCAUGCAUCGUGGAGCUUCUCCCUAAUGGAUUGGGGAGGGGUAUUGGGUACGACAUGGAAGAAGAAAUCAAGGCAAGGAUUGCCCGAUGAGAGAUAUGUCGCCGAACAAUUCUCAGUGUAACCCAUUGGUGGAGAUUGCAUUGGAUCAAUGGUAGUUUUAUUGAAAUUGGCCACCAUGAGAUCCAUGAACGGAUCACUAACGCCAUCUGUAGCUUCGCUUGGGGGUGGUUUUGCUAGAAGAGUUGGGUUGUGGAGCUCUGGAGGACCGAGGAGAGAUGUCAUUGCCAUUUAUGUAGCGUUUUUGGAUAUUUUUACU